rnacentral:rRNA from 1 species
AACGAACGCUGGCGGCAUGCCUAACACAUGCAAGUCGAACGCCUGUAGCAAUACAGGAGUGGCAGACGGGUGCAAAACGCGUGGAAACCUAUCCUUGGGUUCGGAAUAACCGCGGGAAACUGCGGCUAAUACCGGAUACGUCCUUCGGGAGAAAGAUUUAUCGCCCAUUGAGGGGUCCGCGUCUGGUUAGCUAGUUGGUGAGGUAAUGGCUCGCCAAGGCGACGAUCAGUAGCUGGUCUGAGAGGAUGGUCAGCCACACUGGAACUGAGACACGGUCCAGACUCCUACGGGAGGCAGCAGUGGGGAAUAUUGGACAAUGGGCGCAAGCCUGAUCCAGCAAUGCCGCGUGGGUGAUGAAGGCCUUCGGGUUGUAAAGCCCUUUUGGCGGGGACGAUGAUGACGGUACCCGCCGAAUAAGCUCCGGCUAACUUCGUGCCAGCAGCCGCCGUAAUAC